AGUCCCUUGCUAGCUAGCGUCUCGUGUGGUUGUGUCUUUGCUGAGCGCGUAAAGUAGAACAAUGGCGACUUCCGCUUUUGUCGUUAAACCAGCGCGAAGUUCAAGCUACGGGUUUAUUUGCGGCAAGCACUCUUCCUCGCGAUAAAUCUACUCUUGAGUGACGGCAGCGAUGAACACUAAUGUUCUCAGCUUCAUAGUGCACCUCGUGUCAAGGACGGGGGUACAAGCUGUCCGGGUUCUUAGUACUUCAAAGUGAGAGAUGCACACUGGCCCAAGCACUACCUCCAACUUCAUGCUACUGUGAAAUCCCGAGAAAUCACCCCCUCGACGCUGAAAGAUGAUCUGGAAGGGGCCCUUGCUUGGUCUCGGACACUAAUAUAGAAGUUCCUCAAAGAAAAAUGCACACCUGUGUUUCUAAUGAAAUGCUGCAUUGAAUACACAUGCAUUUACUAUUUUACAGA